GAUUGGCACAGAUUUCUGGCAUGGGAUUUGAGGAUGGUUUGUCUCAGUUGAUAUUCAGGUGAUUGAUGUUCUCUAUUUUUGUCUGUUUAUUUUAUUAUUAAAUUUUUAAACCAACACCGCAUGGUAUUUUUUUUUUUAGCAAGAAUAAUUCCGCAGGUGUUCAGAAGCCAAACGGCUGUGACCCAGAGGAGGGAAUAUAGGAACUGACUUCAGAAGGCUUAGUGAGCAUUUUUUGUUGUUUUAGGAUGCCCUUUGGUAGACCCAUAUUCCUAGUGGCUC
rnacentral:lncRNA from 1 species